GGAAGUCAGAGGACGCCGAGGGGCGGAGGCGGGAGAGGCGAGCUCGCGAUGAGUGGUCUCGGCAGGCUCUUCGGGAAGGGGAAGAAGGAGAAAGGGCCAACCCCUGAAGAAGCAAUACAGAAACUGAAGGAGACAGAGAAGAUACUGAUCAAGAAACAGGAAUUUUUGGAGCAGAAGAUUCAACAGGAGCUACAAACAGCCAAGAAGUAUGGGACCAAGAAUAAGAGAGCUGCCCUACAGGCUUUGCGGAGGAAGAAAAGAUUCGAACAGCAGCUGGCACAAACUGAUGGGACAUUAUCCACCCUGGAGUUUCAGCGUGAGGCCAUUGAGAAUGCCACUACCAAUGCAGAAGUCCUUCGUACCAUGGAGCUUGCUGCCCAAAGCAUGAAGAAGGCCUACCAGGACAUGUGGGUACGGGGGAGGGGUGGAGGGGACCCAGGCACUGGGAAGAGUGGCUUGCUAUCACAUUUUAAACUUUAAAGCCUCUCAGAAUGUGGAUUUGCAGUAUAGAUACUUGUGAUGGCUAGACAUCCAUCUGCCCCUUGCUUCCUAUAAGAUUCUUUUGCUGC
rnacentral:sRNA from 1 species